UAUGGUAGAUAAAAAAAAAUGACUCUAUUUUAAUAGAGUAAAUGUAUGUGCACAAAAAAAAAAGAAUAAAAUUAAUGUAAGAGGAAGCAUAUAUCCAAAUUAGAUAUACAUAAAAUGUCAAAGAAAGAGGCUAGUGCUCAAUCCAAAUCAGAUCAUGGCCCAAAAUUAAUUAAACUUUUUGAUUUUAAUCAAUCUUGUUUGAUGACCUAUAAAUCAAUAAGAAACAUUAAAAAUUUAAUUUUACAAAAAAAAAAUUAAAAAUUUAAAAGUUUCAUAUUCUUCUUCUUUUUUACCAGGAGGUGGUCCGCACCUUACGGUUCGAGUAAACCCCCUAAGAUCGGGAGCAAAGACCGGUUAUUU
rnacentral:lncRNA from 1 species